CCAAAGUGAUGAUGUUUGUCCAUAAUACACAGCACCACAUUUGACAAAAAUCAAACACAGCAUGUCAGCACAAACACCUCGUACCAACUGUCAAGCAUGGUGGUGGAGGGGUGAUGAUCUAGGCUUGUUUUGCAGCCACAUGACCUGGGAUCAUUGCAGCAAUUGAUACGACCACAAACUCCUCUGUCUACCAAAGUAUUCUAGAGUCAAAUGUGAGGCCAUCUGUCCAACAGCUAAAGC